UUUAAAGCUGGGGACCUUUCUUAGAAGAGGGAGGGGAAAGUGUUAUGAGAGUAGCAAGGAAGAACAUGGAGAUCCUUUAUCCAGAUGCUAAUAAUAUACUGUCCCAGCAAAGAAAAGUUAUUAUCUAAAAGGAUUUGGUAAAAGGAGACUGCUAUCAAAUGUAACAUACAAAGAGGAAAAAGUAACUCUUAAUUCACUAAAAAAUAUAGAUGUUUUGCAGCACCUUUUGCAGCACCUAUUAUGUACCUGCUGUUCAAGAUAAAACGAUG